UACGAAGGGGGCAAGCGUUGUUCGGAAUUACUGGGCGUAAAGGGCGCGUAGGCGGCUUACCAAGUCAGGCGUGAAAUUCCCGGGCUCAACCUGGGGGCUGCGCUUGAUACUGGUGAGCUUGAAUGCGGGAGAGGAUAGUGGAAUUCCCAGUGUAGAGGUGAAAUUCGUAGAUAUUGGGAAGAACACCGGUGGCGAAAGCGGCGCGCUGGACCUCUUCUGACGCUGAGGCGCGAAAGCCAGGGGAGCAAACGGG
rnacentral:rRNA from 1 species